UCCACCGAUUGACUAAGGUUUCCAGAGGAAGGCUCGUCCGCUCUGGGUUAGUCGGGUCCUAAGCUGAGGCCGACAGGCGUAGGCGAUGGAUAACAGGUUGAUAUUCCUGUACCACCUAUAAUCGUUUUAAUCGAUGGGGGGACGCAGUAGGAUAGGCGAAGCGUGCGAUUGGAUUGCACGUCUAAGCAGUAAGGCUGAGUAUUAGGCAAAUCCGGUACUCGUUAAGGCUGAGCUGUGAUGGGGAGAAGACAUUGUGUCUUCGAGUCGUUGAUUUCACACUGCCGAGAAAAGCCUCUAGAUAGAAAAUAGGUGCCCGUACCGCAAACCGACACAGGUAGUCAAGAUGAGAAUUCUAAGGUGAGCGAGCGAACUCUCGUUAAGGAACUCGGCAAAAUGACCCCGUAACUUCGGGAGAAGGGGUGCUCUUUAGGGUUAACGCCCAGAAGAGCCGCAGUGAAUAGGCCCAAGCGACUGUUUAUCAAAAACACAGGUCUCUGCUAAACCGUAAGGUGAUGUAUAGGGGCUGACGCCUGCCCGGUGCUGGAAGGUUAAGAGGAGUGGUUAGCUUCUGCGAAGCUACGAAUCGAAGCCCCAGUAAACGGCGGCCGUAACUAUAACGGUCCUAAGGUAGCGAAAUUCCUUGUCGGGUAAGUUCCGACCCGCACGAAAGGCGUAACGAUUUGGGCACUGUCUCAACGAGAGACUCGGUGAAAUCAUAGUACCUGUGAAGAUGCAGGUUACCCGCGACAGGACGGAAAGACCCCGUGGAGCUUUACUGUAGCCUGAUAUUGAAAUUCGGCACAGCUUGUACAGGAUAGGUAGGAGCCUUUGAAACGUGAGCGCUAGCUUACGUGGAGGCGCUGGUGGGAUACUACCCUAGCUGUGUUGGCUUUCUAACCCGCACCACUUAUCGUGGUGGGAGACAGUGUCAGGCGGGCAGUUUGACUGGGGCGGUCGCCUCCUAAAAGGUAACGGAGGCGCUCAAAGGUUCCCUCAGAAUGGUUGGAAAUCAUUCAUAGAGUGUAAAGGCAUAAGGGAGCUUGACUGCGAGACCUACAAGUCGAGCAGGGUCGAAAGACGGACUUAGUGAUCCGGUGGUUCCGCAUGGAAGGGCCAUCGCUCAACGGAUAAAAGCUACCCCGGGGAUAACAGGCUUAUCUCCCCCAAGAGUUCACAUCGACGGGGAGGUUUGGCACCUCGAUGUCGGCUCAUCGCAUCCUGGGGCUGUAGUCGGUCCCAAGGGUUGGGCUGUUCGCCCAUUAAAGCGGUACGCGAGCUGGGUUCAGAACGUCGUGAGACAGUUCGGUCCCUAUCCGUCGUGGGCGUAGGAAAUUUGAGAGGA
rnacentral:rRNA from 1 species